rnacentral:rRNA from 2 species
AAAUUGAAGAGUUUGAUCAUGGCUCAGAUUGAACGCUGGCGGCAGGCCUAACACAUGCAAGUCGAACGGUAGCACAGAGAGCUUGCUCUCGGGUGACGAGUGGCGGACGGGUGAGUAAUGUCUGGGAAACUGCCUGAUGGAGGGGGAUAACUACUGGAAACGGUGGCUAAUACCGCAUAACGUCGCAAGACCAAAGAGGGGGACCUUCGGGCCUCUUGCCAUCAGAUGUGCCCAGAUGGGAUUAGCUUGUUGGUGAGGUAACGGCUCACCAAGGC